rnacentral:rRNA from 1 species
GCCGAACGCUGGCGGCGUGCUUAACACAUGCAAGUCGAACGGAAAGGCCCUGCUUUCGUGGGGUGCUCGAGUGGCGAACGGGUGAGUAACACGUGAGUAACCUGCCCUUGACUUUGGGAUAACUUCAGGAAACUGGGGCUAAUACCGGAUAGGAGCUCCUGCUGCAUGGUGGGGGUUGGAAAGUUUCGGCGGUUGGGGAUGGACUCGCGGCUUAUCAGCUUGUUGGUGGGGUAGUGGCUUACCAAGGCUUUGACGGGUAGCCGGCCUGAGAGGGUGACCGGCCACAUUGGGACUGAGAUACGGCCCAGACUCCUACGGGAGGCAGCAGUGGGGAAUAUUGCACAAUGGGCGGAAGCCUGAUGCAGCAACGCCGCGUGCGGGAUGACGGCCUUCGGGUUGUAAACCGCUUUCGCCUGUGACGAAGCGUGAGUGACGGUAAUGGGUAAAGAAGCACCGGCUAACUACGUG